AGGGCUGGGUAUUGAUCAGAAAUUUCCGAUACGAUACGCAUUGCGAUACAGACCAACGAUACACAAUACGUAUUGACGAUACAGUACAAUGAUGCUUCAUUGUUAGGAUGUACUUAUUAAAAGUACUAUUUACAUUUCAUAGCUGCCCUGGUGAAAUAUUAUUGAAUCUUUCUUAUAUCUGUUUUAGAUUUUGACUUUGUUAAUGAUGAUAUAUAAUACAGAGCAGGUGCAUAGGUACCUUAAUUAGUACAUUUGAGGUAAUAUUUUGAAAAUGACAUGAUGGUCCCUUUUUUAGAUAAAACAAUUAUUUUGAAAAAAAAAUUAAAAAGCUUUGUAGAGAAAUAAUUCAAUGCAAAAAUAUAAUUAUGUAAAUACUACGAAAAGUUAACACAGAAAAUAAUUAAAACAUCACUAUUUAUUAUGACAGGAGUCUAGUACUGUCUACAAGUCAACUGUUCUAAAUUAUAAGAUCUUUAUAAUAAAAUCAAAUUUUUGUAGAAUUUGAAUAUAUACGCUGAGAAAGUAUUGGAACAUUGAAAAUUUUCUAACAAAUCAUGUUUUUUCUAUCUUAAACGGUAAAAUUACAAUAAAAAUAUAAAUAUCAUGUCAUGAUGUUGUGGUGUCGUAAUCCGUAACGUAACGGGAAACGGUGUUUAGCUACAACUUCGCGCAGUCACAUUUAUUUAGUUAGCAAACUACAUCUUGGAAAAUCAAUAAAUUUGUUGGAUUUAUGUGUUCACAAUAGACCCUUCUCAAAUUAUAUGCAUACCUGGAAUUCCAGAACCAGAACCAGGUUUAAAUGGCACGAAUGUAAACACACUGACCACUCUUAUCUCACUAUAUAGCCACGAUGUCGGGUGUUAAUAAAGAAAAGUUCUUAUUAUCAUUUUUGUGUGCCAAUGUGCUAUUCUGAUGGUAAAUAUAAUUUACCAUAUUCCAAAGGAUAAAGAUUAAAAAAACACACAACAAAUUAUGGAUGACUUAACUUUCUAAGAUAAGAAGGGAUAAAAGGUCAUUGUAAAAGGUCACUGAAUCUACUGUGGUGUGUUCCAAACAUUUUAAACUGAGGAUUACAACUGGACUCCACUUAAAAAUGGUUCUAUUCCACCAGUGAUUAAUUUGGUUGAACAAACAACUCCAAUUAAGAAGGCCACUUUUAUGAAAAAUUCUUUCACCAAAGAAAAUGCUCAUUGAUAGCAUUGUCUAUAAUGAAGAUGAAGAAGAUAAUGCAACAAGUACCAAUUGCCAACCAUCUACAUCUUAUGGGUCUACAGAAACACAGGAAGAAAUAUAUAUUUAAAUGCUUCAUGAGGCUUGAACUGGAGGAGACCAAAAAGAUGUAAAGACCCUGCAACUCAGCUGAGUUUGUAUUGAAAUUACAAAGGAACAUGCACACGUUCGCAUUUGUGUCAUUGUUACAUGGAUGCAUGUCAGAUGUUGAGAUCUAAUUGAACUUUUUGAAACUGGUGAUGAUGUGAUGGUUUUUAUAUGUAUAUUUAAAUUGGUUUUCAAUAAAAAAAAGGAUAAUAAAAACAAUAUAAUAUUAGGGAGUAUUAAAGUUUAGUCUUUAUUAAAAUUUUGAAAUAAAUAAGAAAAUUC